AGAGUUUGAUCCUGGCUCAGGAUGAACGCUGGCGGCGUGCUUAAUACAUGCAAGUCGAACGGAGAAUUUUUGUAGUAAUACAGGAAUUUCUCAGUGGCGAACGGGCGAGUAACGAGUUGGUGACCUGCCCCGAAGUGUGGGAUAACAGUCCGAAAGGAUUGCUAAUACCGCAUGUGAUUAUCGGUUCUAGAAUCUGAUAAUUAAAGCAGUAAUGCGCUUCGGGAGGGACCUGCUUCCCAUCAGCUAGUUGGUGAGGUAACGGCCCACCAAGGCUACGACGGGUAAGGGACCUGAGAGGGUGGUCCCUCGCAAUGGCACUGAAACACGGGCCAUACAC
rnacentral:rRNA from 1 species